rnacentral:rRNA from 1 species
UAGCGAAUAUUGGGCAAUGGAGGCAACUCUGACCCAACCAUGCCGCGUGCCGGAUGAAGGCCUUAUGGAUUGUAAACGGCUUUUACCAUGGAAGAAUCUACCUUUGCGAAGGGAACUGACGGUACCUGGUGAAUAAGCACCGGCUAACUCCGUGCCAGCAGCCGCGGUAAUACGGAGGGUGCAAGCGUUGUCCGGAUUUAUUGGGUUUAAAGGGUGCGUAGGCGGCUUGGUAAGUCCGUGGUGAAAGCCAACAGCUCAACUGUUGAACUGCCAUGGAUACUGCCAGGCUUGAGUACAGACGAGGUAGGCGGAAUGGAUAGUGUAGCGGUGAAAUGCAUAGAUACUAUCCAGAACUCCGAUUGCGAAGGCAGCUUUCUAGGCUGUAACUGACGCUGAGGCACGAAAGCGUGGGGAGCGAACAGGAUUAGAUACCCUGGUAGUCCACGCUGUAAACGAUGAUUACUCGAUGUUGGCGAUACACGGCCAGCGUCUUAGCGAAAGCGUAAGUAUCCACGUG